UACGAGGGGGCAAGCGUUGUUCGGAAUUAUUGGGCGUAAAGGGGUGCGAUAGGCGGUUUGGAUAAGUUUGAUGUGAAUACUCUGGGCUCACCCAGAGUCUGCGAUCGAAACUGUCGGCUUGAGUAUGGGAGAGGUGAGGUGGAAUUUCCGGUGUAGCGGUGAAAUGACGUAGAUAUCGGAAGGAACACCUGUGGCGAAAGCGGACUCACUGGACCAUUACGUGACGCUGAUGCACGGAAAGCUAGGGGAGCAAACAGG
rnacentral:rRNA from 1 species